UUUACUUUGAUAUUUUUAAUAAAAAAAAGGAUCUGUUCUUAUCAGUUUAAUAUCUGAUACGUCCCCUAUCUGGGGACCAUAUAUUAAAUGGAUUUUUCGAACAGGGAGAUGGAAAAAGAGCUUGCUCUGUCCACUCCACGCAUUGACCUGGUAUUGCAGUACCUCCAGGACCUGCCUGCCUC